AUUUAAUCCAUUUGUUGAAGCCCUAACUUCCAGUGUAUUUGGAGAUAGGGCUUUUAAGUAGGUUAUUAAGCUUAAAGAAUGUUAUAAGGGUGGAGCCCUAACCAACAGGACCGGUGUCUUUAUAAAAAGAGGAAGAAGCACCAAAUAUCUUUCUGUGUGUGUGUGUGCACACAGAGAAACACCACGCAAGAACACAGAAAGAAGUUGCUAUCUGUAAGCCAAGGAGAGAAGCCUCACCAGAAACCAACUCUGCUGGCAUCAUGAUCUUGGAAUUCCAGCAUCCAGAACUGAAGAAGGAGUCCUUCUGAGUAGCCACCACAGCUACAAACAUUCUGGGUCACACCUAAAGCCAGCACAAUUCUGAGUCUCACCCAAAGGCCACAAUUUCAGUUAGCAUCACUGGAGAAAAGCUGAGAAUGGGAAAGAAGAAAGACAUUUCAGUAAAGUAUCUUACAUGGUGAAUAUUGUAUAAAUUAAUUGCUUUCAAGACAUUUUGUUCUUAUGAUAUCUUAUACAAUUUCAUUUCUUUCUUCUAGAACAAGCACCCAUGUCUUUGUGUUGUUGAUUUAAUAUUAUUUUACUGUGUUUUAUAUAAAAAUGUAGGCAUUGAAUCAAAUAACAAUUUGUUUCAAAUUCCAAACUGUGUAUUAAAUAUUUUACAGGUGUUAUUUUCCUUAAUCUCCA
rnacentral:lncRNA from 1 species